rnacentral:rRNA from 1 species
GGGAUUGCCCUAGUAACGGCGAGUGAAGCGGCAACAGCUCAAAUUUGAAAUCUGGCCUCGGCCCGAGUUGUAAUUUGUAGAGGAAGCUUUUGGCACGGCACCUGCUGAGUCCCCUGGAACGGGGCGCCAUAGAGGGUGAGAGCCCCGUAUAGCAGGACGCCUAGCCUCUGUAAAGCUCCUUCGACGAGUCGAGUAGUUUGGGAAUGCUGCUCAAAAUGGGAGGUAAAUUUCUUCUAAAGCUAAAUACCGGCCAGAGACCGAUAGCGCACAAGUAGAGUGAUCGAAAGAUGAAAAGCACUUUGAAAAGAGGGUUAAAUAGCACGUGAAAUUGUUGAAAGGGAAGCGCUUGUGACCAGACUUGCGCCGGGCUGAUCAUCCGAGGUUCUCCUCGGUGCACUCUGCCCGGCUCAGGCCAGCAUCGGUUCUCGCGGGGGGAUAAAGGCCCUGGGAACGUAGCUCCUCCGGGAGUGUUAUAGCCCGGGGUGUAAUGCCCUCGCGGGGACCGAGGACCGCGCUUCGGCAAGGAUGCUGGCGUAAUGGUCAUCAGCGACCCGUCUUGAAACACGGACCAAGGAGUCAAGGUUUUGCGCGAGUGUUUGGGUGUUAAACCCGCACGCGUAAUGAAAGUGAACGUAGGUGAGAGCUUCGGCGCAUCAUCGACCGAUCCUGAUGUAUUCGGAUGGAUUUGAGUAGGAGCGUUAAGCCUUGGACCCGAAAGAUGGUGAACUAUGCUUGGAUAGGGUGAAGCCAGAGGAAACUCUGGUGGAGGCUCGCAGCGGUUCUGACGUGCAAAUCGAUCGUCAAAUCUGAGCAUGGGGGCGAAAGACUAAUCGAA